rnacentral:rRNA from 1 species
CGGACGGGUGAGUAACACGUGGAUAACCUACCUAUAAGACUGGGAUAACUUCGGGAAACCGGAGCUAAUACCGGAUAAUAUAUUGAACCGCAUGGUUCAAUAGUGAAAGACGGUUUUGCUGUCACUUAUAGAUGGAUCCGCGCCGCAUUAGCUAGUUUGUAAGGUAACGGCUUACCAAGGCAACGAUGCGUAGCCGACCUGAGAGGGUGAUCGGCCACACUGGAACUGAUACACGGUCCAGACUCCUACGGGAGGCAGCAGCG